rnacentral:rRNA from 1 species
UACGAAGGGGGCUAGCGUUGCUCGGAAUCACUGGGCGUAAAGCGCACGUAGGCGGCUCUUUAAGUCUGAUGUGAAAUCUAUGGGCUCAACCCAUAGCCUGCAUUAGAAACUGUCGGGCUUGAGUAUGGGAGAGGUGAGUGGAAUUUCCGGUGUAGCGGUGAAAUGCGUAGAUAUCGGAAGGAACACCUGUGGCGAAAGCGGCUCACUGGACCAUUACUGACGCUGAUGCACGAAAGCUAGGGGAGCAAACAGG